UUGCAAAGGAGAAAGACAGUUUAAGAAAAGGUCACCUUCGAUGCUUGUGGCUUAUAUGCAAAAAGUCAGAUACAUUGACAAAAGUAUCAUGUUUACUUGAGCCGCCUCACUCACUUAGUAAAAACUGGUUUCUCAAAAGCCACUCAAAGGAACAUUGUGUCAAAAGAUGCUCUCAAAGAUUCCUUGAAAGAUGAAAAGUUCCCAAAUUUGUCUACAACCAAGACAAUCAGUAGCUUCUCAAGAUGACUCAAGUGUGGUCAGAAGAAGAGCCCUCUCUGGCAUAAAGGUCUAUGCAAAACAGUUAAAGUCUUUCGAUUUUAGGCCCAGCUAUUGCAGAAAGUUUAAAGAAUGGGAGUGACCCUG